CCUACGGGAGGCAGCAGUGGGGAAUAUUGGGCAAUGGGCGCAAGCCUGACCCAGCAACGCCGCGUGAAGGAAGAAGGCCCUCGGGUUGUAAACUUCUUUUAUUCGGGACGAAACAAAUGACGGUACCGAAUGAAUAAGCCACGGCUAACUACGUGCCAGCAGCCGCGGUAAUACGUAGGUGGCAAGCGUUAUCCGGAUUUACUGGGUGUAAAGGGCGUGUAGGCGGGAGAGCAAGUCAGACGUGAAAUUCCAGGGCUCAACCCUGGAACUGCGUUUGAAACUGUUCUUCUUGAGUGAUGGAGAGG
rnacentral:rRNA from 1 species